rnacentral:rRNA from 1 species
UACGGAGAUCCAAGCGUUAUCCGGAAUCAUUGGGUUUAAAGGGUCCGUAGGCGGUUUGGUAAGUCAGUGGUGAAAGCCCAUCGCUCAACGGUGGAACGGCCAUUGAUACUGCCAGACUUGAAUUAUUAGGAAGUAACUAGAAUAUGUAGUGUAGCGGUGAAAUGCUUAGAGAUUACAUGGAAUACCAAUUGCGAAGGCAGGUUACUACUAAUGGAUUGACGCUGAUGGACGAAAGCGUGGGUAGCGAACAGG